rnacentral:RNase_P_RNA from 1 species
ACAUUCAGACAAUCGCUGUGAAAGCAGAGGAAAGUCCAUGCUCGCACAUCCUGCGAUGGAUGUAGUGUUUAUGCCAAGUGAGAAAGUAAGCUUGGGCAGUGCAAACUGACGGCUGGCGAUUUUCCUAAGGGCAACUAUGGAAAUAGCCUGUAAAAGUGUCAAAGAGACGAGUCUGAUGGAAACAUCAGGGUGGAACGUGAUAAACCCCAUAAGCGAGAAACCCAAAAUUUGGUAGGGGAACCAGCAAUAGCGAAAUGAAGCGAUUUGCCGGGCACAUUCGUGCAGAUAAAUGAUUGUCCAAUACAGAACAUGGCUUAUUAAA